ensembl:snoRNA
CUCCAUGACUCCAUGGGGGCUGCCGCCCGUGGCUGUCCCCCUUCCUAGGCAUGGAAGAGCAGCUUCUUGCUAAUUGGCAAAACUUCUACCGUCCCGUCGGUAGUAGUCGUUGACUGUGGCAAGUGACAAGC